rnacentral:rRNA from 1 species
GUACGGGAGGCAGCAGUGGGGAAUCUUGCGCAAUGGGCGAAAGCCUGACGCAGCGAUGCCGCGUGAGUGAUGAAGGCCUUCGGGUUGUAAAGCUCUGUGGGGAGAGAAGAAUAAGUCGUCGUGAAUAACGCCGAUGAUGACGGUAUCUCCUUAGCAAGCACCGGCUAACUCUGUGCCAGCAGCCGCGGUAAGACAGAGGGUGCAAACGUUGUUCGGAAUUACUGGGCGUAAAGCGAGUGUAGGCGGUGAGAUAAGUCGGACGUGAAAGCCCGGGGCUCAACCUCGGAAGUGCGCUCGAUACUGUCUCGCUUGAGUGUCGGAGAGGUUGGUGGAAUUCUGGGUGUAGAGGUGAAAUUCGUAGAUAUCCAGAGGAACACCGGUGGCGAAGGCGGCCAACUGGACGACUACUGACGCUGAGACUCGAAAGUGUGGGGAGCAAACAGGAUUAGAUACCCUGGUAGU